rnacentral:lncRNA from 1 species
GCUGGCCAAACAACAGUAGCCUGGAGUGUGAAGGGCUUCAGCUGGUGGCGCUGGCUGCUUGACUUUCUGGAAAUGGAUGCCAUGCAAGGUUGCAUUUUGACCAGGGGGAAGGAGGUCAUUCUUGAGGGUGGCUGGAUCGAUUGUGAGUCUGCCCCAGCUCCAGAGACACGGCAAGAUAUCCUAGCAGCAAGCCCCACUUUCCAGUAACUGAAGUCAUCUGCAGACACUGAGACCGUCCUUCGGAGGUGGGGCAGCUGAGAACCAUUGAAUACGGGAAGGCGUCUGAAGGCUCGUGGAAGCAGGGAUGCAGAAACACAUCCUCAUCACCUCCCGUCUCGCCUUCUCCCUCAGGAGAGCUAGAAAAACUUCAGAGAAAGACUUCUUGUCUAGCAGAAUCAUCUAUUUGGGGAAGACACAAUGGAGCCAAGGCUAGCGUGACUUCAGAGGCUCGGGAUAUGGUCACACUGGGCCCUAGCGGGGGGAUCUGGUUAGAGUGGCUCUCAUGAAGGCAUUACCAGAGGAAGCUCCUGGAAUGCACACCACCUGCGUCUCCAGGAAGAACACAACAAAUGAAGCAUGCCCAAGGAAACACAGACCAAGACACUGGAGCUAUUGUGUCACAGAUGACUAAGACCCACCAACUCAGGUGUCCUAAUGAUGUGUCUCUUCAGAAAGCAUCCGAGUAUUUUAAAAAUCAUGAAGACUUGCAUAUGAACACAUAUGUGUGUUCCAGUCCAGCAGAACACUAUCCCUGACAUUGUACGGGACCCAUUAUGGAUGCUGAGCCUGCAUCCAUGACUCUAAGAUGGUACUCUCCACCUGAAAUCAUAUGGCAAUAUUCCUCUCUGCCUCACCUUUUCUAGGAAAUUUUAUGUAAUGUGGAGUCUUGAAAGGAGUUGUUCACUGCACACAGUGAAAUUAUUUUUUUCCGAAGAUGUGUACUGUGUACCUAGCUUCUUAUAACCCUAGGAUAAAUAAAUGUUAACUAUUAUCAUUCAUAACUUAACAUGAAUGGCAGUUCUAAAAAAAAAAAAAAAGAAA